CGUCCCGCGGGGACUUAAUAAGGAAGCAGGUGAAAGACCUGCGCUGUACCGGCAACUGUAACGCAGACGAAAUCCAUAAAUGCCAUUGCGGACUGCGGUCCGUGAGAAGGCGGAGAGUAGGGGGAAGCGAAGCCAGGAGACUUACCUGACAUA
rnacentral:ncRNA from 1 species